CGAAGUGGGCCUCGCGGGCGAGGUCAGACGCGUCACGGGCGUCCAGCGCCGGCUGUCCGAAGCGGCCCGCCUCGGC
rnacentral:tRNA from 1 species